rnacentral:lncRNA from 1 species
AGAUUAAAACUAAUUCUUUUAAAGUCACUACUCAGCUGAAAUUUGGCCUGAUUAUAAAUGUUGAUAAUAAUUUCUUCCUGGCUCAACAAAGUUGUUGAGCUUCCUUCUGUGCACACAUUGAAAGAAAACCAGAAAUUGUACAGUCGUGAUAUGAAUUAGAGAAGGAACAGGUGGAAAAGGAUGGCAACACACAGAGUCCGGGGGACACACGGCCUUAAGAUGAAGUGAACGAGUAGACACUGAAUAGGAUCCACGUAAAUGAACGGCCAUUUCAAAUCAUUCACAUCCCAAACGGAGGUUCAUCUGUCUUCUGGUUGGUGAAUUAUAUUUAUUAGGAUCUUAUUUUUAGCAUUUCAUUACAAGUAAUAGGUUUGGGUACCUUAUUUUUAUUGUUUUUACUCAUCAGUUAUGAAUAAGGCAUACCUUAGAAACUUGGGUUAAAUUUUUUCAAGUUAUACCAGUCAACUUGGUUUAAAUACAACUGUACUAACUUGCUUUAUCAUGUUUCCUGUUUAAUUGGAUGAGAAUUACAUGCACUUAUUCAGUUGUUCUUUGUGUUUAUAGGAAAAACUCUGUUCUCAGCUACCUCAUUAUGUAGUAUUGUGCUUGAUCCCCUGCCAAUUGAGAAGAAUUCAACACAUUCUGUUCUUUAACAAAAGCUUGGAAGCAGGCAGUCAGAGGCCUUGAGGAAUACAAUUCUCUAAGGCCUGUUUUCCAUUUUACUACUUAAAAAAAAAAAAAAAAGAAAAGAAAAAAAAGCACUUACAACCAGGAGGAAUAAUAAUUCUCCUAGAGUUGCUGCAAACUGAUUACUUGAAACUCAACUUGAACUUUAAAGAGUCUUUAAAAGGCUGUUUUCAUAAUGCAGAAAAGUAGUCUAUUUAAACGCCACUGCUGUGUAAAACAGGGGGCUCGAUUUCCAUUCUUGUUAGCAUCAGACAAGAAAAUGUGUCUAUCUGUCAUCUGACCCAGUAUUUGGGAUUUGGGUGCUUGAGGAUACUAUUUUUUUCAUUUCUUAUAAGGUGCUAUUGUUUCCCAGAAAUCUUUAAUUUUGAUGAAAAUCUACUCAUUGCUAAGAUCCUCCUCACUUAAAGUGUUUCCUCAGUGCAGAGUUGAGGUUGGCAGAACUAUAUAGAGUUGGAUGAUACUGAAAAUCAUGAAUGAUGUGAUUUGUUCCAUGUAUCUGUGGAACAUCCCUCACCUUCCUCCGGUAUGCGCCUUCUGCACUCCACACGUGGUCGCCUCCAUCCUCCCUAGUGUCUGUCAGCUUGCCUGGUCACCAAGUCAGGAGGAAGAAGAUGAGGAGGCUCACCAGUUGUAGGCAAGACUCUUCCUCUCGGGAGAUCUUGUAAUAAUGGCCCAGUUUCAGGGCACAGUUGUACACAUUCUACUUAAAUGGAGGAGUUCAGUGAUGCCGUGGCCAAAAGAGUUAUGCCCAUUUCUAAAAGCCUGGCAUAUUUGGUAUAACUUAAGCACCAGGUAAAAUCUGGUGCUUAAGUUGUACCAAGUAUAGCCAAGUUUAACUGUCGUUGUGUAUUAAUAAGAUUUAAUUUUUAUGCUUGUGCUUUUCAGAGUAAAGGGCUUGCUUUCAAUAGUAGAAUGACAAAGCUUCUCCUCCAAUGACAAUCUGUUAGCACCCUGUUGACUUAGCUCAGGACAUGAGACUGACUUAGCUCAGGACAUGAGACAUUUCCUGGAAGUGAUUUCCAUGAGAACAAAGGCUUAUUCCUUUAACUUAAACCCCAAACUUUGUUAUUUUAAUUAUUUUCAGGCAAUCAUCUUUAUAUACUUUCCUUACAAACCCAGUGGUUGAGAGCAUAGGCCUUGGUGGCAGGUGCAUCUGGGCUUGGGGGCUUCUGCCACACUUACUACUCUGUGACUUGGGAAGCUCUUAAGGCUCCCAAGGCUCCGUUUCUUAUGUGGAAGAAGAAUAGCAGGAGAAUCUCUUGAACCCAGGAGGCGGAGGUUGCGGUGAGCCGAGAUGGUGCCGUUGCACUCCAGCCGGGCAACAAGGGCUAAACUCCAUCUCAAAAGAAAAGAAAGAAAGGGAAGUAGAAGUAGGAUUUAACAAAGGACCGAGAAGUCGGCUGAAUAGCCAGGUUCAGACAGUGUUGGCAAGAACGGAUCUUUGGCAAGAUCACUUAAGGUGAGCUACUCUAGCAGCAUCCUGUUUGACAUUUGUAUCCAUAACUUGAAUAAAAAUAUAGAAGGCAAAGAAGAGUGCUGGGCAAGAUGUGUUGGGUGUUAGAUCUGCAAUACUCUUCAUAGUGUAAUGGCUAAAUGUAAAGUCUUACGUCUCGGUUCAAGAAAGCACGUUGCUAUAUGAAAUUUCAGAAAAAAGUUUUGUUGCGGGGGGUGGGAUAUUGAUCAUUUGAACAUAUGCCAGUUGUUUCUCCUGCCCUAGGGGAGGUUGGCACGGCAACCUUCCCACUCCGUAGGUGGGUAGCCUUGCUGAUGGGGCACGUCGUCACCAAGGGACCUGAUUGUUGUCAUGGUUUUGUCUUGUCCUCCUCCCUGGUGAAAGUCUACUGCAGUUUUAUUCUCAGCUCUGGAAGGAGAGGGAACGAGCCUCUGCCUGUGUGUCCUGACCCCUCUUGCCUUGUUUUUGAUCUGCUCAGGCCGGGUGCAGUGGCUCACGCCUGUAAUCCCAGCACUUUGGGAGGCAAAGGCAGGUGGAUCACUUGAGGUCAGGAGUUCAAGACUAGCCUGGCCAACAUGGUGAAACCCCGUCUCUACUAAAAAUACAAAAAUUAGCCGAGUGUGUUGGUGGGCCCCUGUAAUCCCAGCUACUCGGGAGGUUGAGGGAGGAGAAUCACUUGACCCCAGGAGGCAGAGGUUGAAGUGAGCCAGGAUUGUGCCACUGUACUCCAGCCUGGGCGACAGAGGGGGACUCUGUCUCACAAAAAAAUAAAAAAUUAAAAAAAAAGGUCUGCUCAGAAAUAGGGGAAACACGGGAUCAAGAUCAUUAGAGAUUUAUAGGCUGGGAUGCACACCAUGUCUUCAGAGCUAGCCGGCUGUGUCUUCUCCCCGUUUCUUUCACUGGUGAAUAACCUUUCGUUUGAACCAGCCUUGAUUGUUCUCUCCAUGUUCCACUGUGGCUCCCCAUGGACACUGCUAGGUGGAAUCUCUGAGAAAACAGGCACUUCGCAGUCGGCGCAUCUUUCUCUGCCAGCUUAGGGAUUGCCGUCAAGGUGGAGGAAGGGUAUUUUGGCCAUGUUCGGAGUCGUUGUUUUUACUCACUCUUCUUGGGAUAGCUUUCCCACCCUGCCCUCUGCUCCUCUGUCCCAACCCUCUUCCAGCCUGGUUUUUUUACUGCUUGAAUUAUGUAUCCAAAAUAAAAAGGAAAAGAAAGGUGCAGUUGGGGCGGGUUGUUGGGGGCGAGGAGAAUAGCCCUUCUGGUUCUUCAGACCACAUAAUGGCCAGAGCAUGAGCCUCACAGAUCCCUGAGCAGACCUGCAUACUAGCACUUUCCACAACCAGCUGGCCCUGGCUGUGAGAGUCAGAUCUGUCCCCAAGGCUCCAGGUCAGAACUUGGACCCAGGUGCCUUCUGAGGCACCGCCAAGGACACAUCCCAGCGCCUUAGGCACCUGUAGGCUAGAAUGACACCUUCCAGGCCAGCCCCAGAGGCCCUCAGGGCUCCCCCUCCAAGCCGGGAGGGCAGGCAGGCACAGGCCCCGCUCACUACCUCAGCACCCAGUGCAGCCCCAGGCUCCCGGACGUGCUCGGCCCGGUGGCCUCUUGUGUGACAGGCCCUCUGCCAUGUCUGUCCGCAGAGCCGGGUGGGGACCCUCCGUGUGGGUCCUCCUCUGUCCCUUUGCAGCUCGCAUUCGCCAGAGCGGAGCGCAGCCCUUGUUUCCUUCUUUCCUCUUCAGCUCUGACUUAAAAACACACUAUGUUCCAAAUCGUUGUGGGAUCGGAAACUAGAACUGCUUGUUUCCAGGAGAGACCACCUUUUCAUAUUUUUUUUAAAAGGAAUUUGUGCUUCAAAAGAAACUCCAAAAAAUAAAUUUAUUGUUAGUCUAGCAUAUGCUCAUUGAAAUUGACUUAUGUUUUAUUUUAAAAAAUCAUGUAGGAUCUGGUACAUGGGGCGGGCAAAAGGGUAUCAUCAGCUUAAGAAGUAAAGAAGUGAGCCUUCCAUUUGUGUGGGUGAUAACAUCUUUUUCCUAGAUCGUACCUCAAAAUUCAGGCUCUCCAUGAAAACAAAGAUAAUCUGAAUAAAAAUUGUGUGUUGGGAAAUGUAUCAAGUGACCUUCAGUUAAGAAAAGCACAGGCUGUUUAUUAGCACAACUUGCUUCAUUAAAUAAUUCGUGGCUUUUUCUGCCACUGGGGUUCUUUUCGUUUUGAAUUCAGCUUGUGUUUGGUUCCUCGGUCUUGUACCCCUUCAGUUCGCCGGCGACGUAAUGGUGAUACCCUUUGUUUUUUGUAUCAUACCUUUUGUGAAUUGUGACAACCAUCCCGUAAUCAUUGUGGCCUCAGCAGAAGUUUUGAACAAUCUUUGCAGCCACUGUUGGGGUGUGUACCAGCAGCCUGGAAGUGACCAGCAGAGCUGACAAAAGCACCCCCUGCUCUGCCCACCUCCGCAGAGUCCUGUCCUCAUCAGAAACGGUAUCGCGGAUGCUCCUCAGGUAGGCGUAGGCAGACUUCAUUGUGUGUUAGCAGUGACAGUGAUGUCUGUACCUAUCUGUGAGUGAGACCCAUUCAUGACACACUAGAAAUGUGUACAUUCUUUUGUUUUCCAUCACGGGUAUAGGUCUUCUGCCAUGAAAGAGAACUAUCAAGGAAAUUCCUGAAAACAAGAUUUGUAAAUUCGAUUUGACCCUCCCAAAUUCAGGGCUGCUCUUUGCAGUGGUCCCUGGCCCAGCAGGUGGCCGGCGUGGCUCCUGUUGGCUCAUGCCAGUGUUGUGCUGGACCCUCGAGUAUGUGACUGUCACCCUUGUCCAAGACUGGUUUUUAACAGUCUUGAUUUGUCAUUUUGAUGCUUUGAAUACUAUAAGGAAAAUGCCACGAAUACCAUAUAAAUACCACACCAAUCUGUUGAACAUAUCUGUGUUUUCUGACAUGGGACCUGCAGAAUAGUAUUUCUUUUAAAUCCUGCAACUUUAUUAUCUAGUAGAAUUCCAAGUAGGUCUGCUUAGACACAUAUUCAGUGAAGAUUGUAUUGUGUGUGAUAUUAUCCUAUCUUUAAUAAAGUCCUACUACUGAAAAACAGGGAUUUGCAAUGAAAAUCAUAGCUAAAUAGGCAGGUUUAGAAAGUUCAAAAUAUUGGAAGUGCUAGAAGGCUGCAACUUGUAAAAUUGUACUCCCCAAGUUCAGUAGGAUAGUAGAGAAGUCGUGCUAAGUUGAUUUCAUUGAAAUGUCACGUCUCACAUCCUGUGGUCCAAAGGUACUAGUUUGUUUUGUGGAAUAAUUUUCUGUUCACUUGCUGAUAAGAAAUUUAGCAGUCAGAAGUAAUUUUUAAUUAAUAACCUUUCUUUUUAAAAGUUGCUUUAUGGUUUACAAGUAAUACUGAUGCAAAAAGGAUUUGUUAACCUAAAUUAAGUAGCACGCACUUUGUUUACAUGCUUCAGUAUAUUGUGGGGUUGGUCCCUUCUCACGAACCCAGGACCUGUGCUUGGGGAACAUUUUGCCAUCAUGCUGUUCUCUUGUACCAAGGAUCAGUGAAAGUGUUUUAUCUUUUUUAUGUAGUUUGUAUUGACUGGAUUUUAUAACUGUAAGAAAACAGAAACAGAGUGUUGUAUUUUGAUCUGAAAUUUGUGUAUGCUAAAGUAAUUUUGUUUUAUGUAUUGGAAGUUCACUUAAAAACUUGAAAUAUUUUCUAGAAGGGUACCACACAAAAGGAAUCAUCUUUAAGCUGUUUAAUUAACCUAAUAAAAUAAUUUGAUGGG